rnacentral:ncRNA from 1 species
ACUGAUACAGGGCUUUUUGAGUCUUGUAGGAAUAAGUACAAUUUAAUUCCCGUAACGGGGAACAAUCGGAGAGCAAGUCUGGUGCAGCAGCCGCGCUAAGUCCAACUCCAA